rnacentral:tRNA from 1 species
CGCGGCGUGCCCGAGAGGCCAGGGAGCGGUCUGCAACACCGCUGACGCGGGUUCGAAUCCCGCCGUCGCGUCGA